rnacentral:rRNA from 1 species
CGGGUGAUGGAGAGGGGGGUGGCGCGGGGGUGUGUGGGGUGCGGGUGUUGGCGGGAGGGAUUGGGCGGAAGGGGUGAGUGGGGGGUGGGUAGCGUGUGAAGUGGAAUUGUGGGGCUGUAGCCUGAGGGUGCUUUGGAGACGGGGUGGCUGAAGGAAGGUAGGGGAGAAUGGAAUUCGUGGUGGAGCGGUGGAAUGCGCAGAUAGCAGGAGGAACACAAGUGGCGAAGGCGGUUCUCUGGGCCUUUCCUGACGCUGAGGAGCGAAAGCGUGGGGAGCGAACAGGAUUAGAUACCCUAUAGC